GAGGGUAUAGCUCAAGAGGUAGAGUGUAAGCUUAGCAUGCACAAGGUCCUGGGUUCAAUCCCCAGUACCUCCU
rnacentral:tRNA from 1 species